rnacentral:rRNA from 1 species
UACGUAGGGGGCUAGCGUUGUCCGGAAUCAUUGGGCGUAAAGAGCUCGUAGGCGGCUCAGUAAGUCAGGUGUGAAAACUCCAGGCUCAACCUGGAGACGCCACUUGAUACUGCUGUGGCUAGAGUCCGGUAGGGGAGCAUGGAAUUCCUGGUGUAGCGGUGAAAUGCGCAGAUAUCAGGAGGAACACCAGUGGCGAAGGCGGUGCUCUGGGCCGGAACUGACGCUGAGGAGCGAAAGCGUGGGGAGCAAACAGG